rnacentral:rRNA from 1 species
AUCUUGGCACCGUGCUGCUUUCCCAAAGAAUGACUUCUUAAGUAUCAUCGCCGCAAUAAUGUUUCACAGCUAAGUUCGAGAUGGGUUAGUGUGGUUCCAUUAUGCUAAUAGCACCAAGAU